rnacentral:tRNA from 1 species
UCGUAGCUCAACUGGACAGAGCGCCAGUCUUGUAAACUGGGGGUUGUAGGUUCGAGUCCUACCGGGAGAU